rnacentral:rRNA from 1 species
AUACGGAGGAUGCAAGCGUUAUCCGGAUUUAUUGGGUUUAAAGGGUGCGUAGGCGGUUUGCUAAGCGGGAGGUGAAAUGCCGGCGCUCAACGUCGGAAGUGCCUCCCGAACUGGUGGACUUGAAUGACUCUGCCGUGGGAGGCAUGUGUAGUGUAGCGGUGAAAUGCUUAGAGAUUACACAGAACACCGAUUGCGAAGGCAUCUCACGAAGGGUUGAUUGACGCUGAGGCACGAAAGCGUGGGGAUCAAACAGGAUUAGAUACCCUGGUAGUCCACGCAGUAAACGAUGAUGGCUAACCGCUGGGCUUAUCAGUUCAGUGGCCAAGCGAAAGCGAUAAGCCAUCCACCUGGGGAGUACGACCGCAAGGUUGAAACUCAAAUGAAUUGGCGGGG